CAUAGUGAUGAGGGAGUAGUAAAGCUGAAGUGACAGACCUUGCACACACACCACAGGAUACAGGAUGGAGGCAGAAGGAAGAAGGAUGAAGCAUGGUGGAAGAGAUGGCGAUAUUUACUUUCUUUUCAUUUAAAAAUUAC